rnacentral:rRNA from 1 species
ACGGCUCAGUAACACGUGGACAACCUGCCCUUAGGUUGGGUAUAAACCCGGGAAACUGGGUAUAAUACCCGAUAGGUCUCGAUUGCUGGAAUGCAUCGAGAUUUAAAGCUCCGGCGCCUAAGGAUGGGUCUGCGGCCUAUCAGGUAGUAGUGGGUGUAGCGUACCUACUAGCCUACGACGGGUACGGGUUGUGAGAGCAAGAGCCCGGAGAUGGAUUCUGAGACACGAAGCCAGGCCCUACGGGGUGCAGCAGGCGCGAAAACUUUACAAUGCUGGCAACAGCGAUAAGGGAACCUCGAGUGCCAGGUUACAAAUCUGGCUGUCGAGAUGCCUAAAAAGCAUUUCAUAGCAAGGGCCGGGCAAGACCGGUGCCAGCCGCCGCGGUAACACCGGCGGCUCGAGUGGUAACCGUUAUUAUUGGGUCUAAAGGGUCUGUAGCCGGCCGGAUAAGUCUCUUGAGAAAUCUGGCAGCUUAACUGUCAGGCUUUCAGGAGAUACUGUCUGGCUCGAGGCCGGGAGAGGUGAGAGGUACUUCAGGGGUAGGGGUGAAAUCUUGUAAUCCUUGAAGGACCACCAGUGGCGAAGGCGUCUCACCAGAACGGACCUGACGGCAAGGGACGAAAGCUAGGGGCACGAACCGGAUUAGAUACCCGGGUAGUCCUAGCCGUAAACGAUACUCGCUAGGUGUCGGCCACGGUGCGACCGUUGUCGGUGCCGUAGGGAAGCCGUGAAGCGAGCCACCUGGGAAGUACGGCCGCAAGGCUGAAACUUAAAGGAAUUGGCGGGGGAGCAC